rnacentral:rRNA from 1 species
GAUGAACGCUGGCGGCGUGCCUAAUACAUGCAAGUCGAGCGAACAGACGAGGAGCUUGCUCCUCUGACGUUAGCGGCGGACGGGUGAGUAACACGUGGAUAACCUACCUAUAAGACUGGGAUAACGUCGGGAAACCGGAGCUAAUACCGGAUAAUAUAUUGAACCGCAUGGUUCAAUAGUGAAAGACGGUUUUGCUGUCACUUAUAGAUGGAUCCGCGCCGCAUUAGCUAGUUGGUAAGGUAACGGCUUACCAAGGCGACGAUGCGUAGCCGACCUGAGAGGGUGAUCGGCCACACUGGAACUGAGACACGGUCCAGACUCCUACGGGAGGCAGCAGUAGGGAAUCUUCCGCAAUGGGCGAAAGCCUGACGGAGCAACGCCGCGUGAGUGAUGAAGGUCUUCGGAUCGUAAAACUCUGUUAUUAGGGAAGAACAAAUGUGUAAGUAACUAUGCACGUCUUGACGGUACCUAAUCAGAAAGCCACGGCUAACUACGUG